GUAGGUGGCAAGCGUUGUCCGGAAUUAUUGGGCGCAAAGCGCGCGCAGGUGGUUCUUUAAGUCUGAUGUGAAAGCCCCCGGCUCAACCGGGGAGGGUCAUUGGAAACUGGGGAACUUGAGUGCAGGAGAGGAAAGUGGAAUUCCACGUGUAGCGGUGAAAUGCGUAGAUAUGUGGAGGAACACCAGUGGCGAAGGCGACUUUCUGGCCUGUAACUGACACUGAGGCGCGAAAGCGUGGGGAGCAAACAGGGAUUAGAUACCCUGGUAGUCCACGCCGUAAACGAUGAGUGCUAGGUGUUGGGGGGGGUUUCCGCCCCCUCAGUGCUGCAGCUAACGCAUUAAGCACUCCGCCUGGGAGUACGGUCGCAAGACUG
rnacentral:rRNA from 1 species